rnacentral:rRNA from 1 species
AGUGAACGCUGGCGGUAGGCCUAACACAUGCAAGUCGAACGGCAGCACAGUAAGAGCUUGCUCUUACGGGUGGCGAGUGGCGGACGGGUGAGGAAUACAUCGGAAUCUACUUUUUCGUGGGGGAUAACGUAGGGAAACUUACGCUAAUACCGCAUACGACCUACGGGUGAAAGCAGGGGAUCUUCGGACCCUGCGCGAUUGAAUGAGCCGAUGUCGGAUUAGCUAGUUGGCGGGGUAAAGGCCCACCAAGGCGACGAUCCGUAGCUGGUCUGAGAGGAUGAUCAGCCACACUGGAACUGAGACACGGUCCAGACUCCUACGGGAGGCAGCAGUGGGGAAUAUUGGACAAUGGGCGCAGGCCUGAUCCAGCCAUACCGCGUGGGUGAAGAAGGUCUUCGGGUUGUAAAGCCCUUUUGUUGGGAAAGAAAAGCAGCAGGUUAAUACCCCGCUGUUCUGACGGUACCCAAAGAAUAAGCACCGGCUAACUUCGUG